AUCUGGUCCUUCCAAUCAGGAAGGUCGGAAGCCUCUGAUGUCACAGGUCAUUCCAGCCUGGCAACCAGUUUGAAGGGAAACACGUAACUGCCACACUGGUGUCCAGUUUUGGAUCUCGAGAACAAGGGAUGUGAUGCGCUAAAGACUGAAGCAAGACCCCAGGAUUCACCUCGGCUGCUCUGAUUCAAGUCCUCUGUCCUGUUCACGAUGUCCCUUCUCCAUUUGCUCAGACUCCUGUUGGUAGACAAUCUGGAGAACAUAAACCAAGACAACUGGCACGGAUGGGCACCAAGAUGACAAGGUAAAUUUAGGAUGAACAAUGAAAAACUUAUAGCAAAUGCCGCUGGCAAGUCCUGUGACCCUGAAACAGGUGUAUUGUUUUGCUGGAGAACUUCUAUGUAAUGGAUUGUAUCUGCCGAGCUGAUUGAAAAGGCGAGGUUCAUUUUUCUCCUUGCUGUCUUGUUAGUAGUUUG